AGAGUUUGAUCCUGGCUCAGAACGUACGCUGGCGGCACGCCUAACACAUGCAAGUCGAACGAAGUAGCAAUACUUAGUGGCAGACGGGUGAGUAACAUGUAGGUAUCUGCCCUUUGGCCUGGAAUAACACGAGGAAACUUGUGCUAAUACCGGAUAAGUCUUUACGGAGAAAGCUUUAUGCACCAUUGGAUGAGCCCGCACUUGAUUAGUUUGUUGGUAGGGUAAUGGCCUACCAAGACUAUGAUCAAUAGCUGAUUUGAGAGGAUGAUCAGCCACAUUGGGACUGAGACACGGCCCAAACUCCUACGGGAGGCAGCAGUGGGGAAUCUUGCACAAUGGAGGAAACUCUGAUGCAGCGAUGCCGCGUGAGUGAAGAAGGCCUUUGGGUUGUAAAGCUCUUUCGUCGGGGAAGAAAAUGACUGUACCCGAAUAAGAAGGUCCGGCUAACUUCGUGCCAGCAGCCGCGGUAAUACGAAGGGACCUAGCGUAGUUCGGAAUUACUGGGCUUAAAGAGUUCGUAGGUGGUUGAAAAAGUUGGUGGUGAAAUCCCAGAGCUUAACUCUGGAACUGCCAUCAAAACUUUUCAGCUAGAGUAUGAUAGAGGAAAGCAGAAUUUCUAGUGUAGAGGUGAAAUUCGUAGAUAUUAGAAAGAAUACCAAUUGCGAAGGCAGCUUUCUGGAUCAUUACUGACACUGAGGAACGAAAGCAUGGGUAGCGAAGAGGAUUAGAUACCCUCGUAGUCCAUGCCGUAAACGAUGUGUGUUAGACGUUGGAAAUUUAUUUUCAGUGUCGCAGGGAAACCGAUAAACACACCGCCUGGGGAGUACGACCGCAAGGUUAAAACUCAAAUGAAUUGACGGGGACCCGCACAAGUAGUGGAGCAUGUGGUUUAAUUCGAAGAUACGCGCAGAACCUUACCAACACUUGACAUGUUCGUCGCGACUCUAAGAGAUUAGAGUUUUCGGUUCGGCCGGACGAAACACAGGUGCUGCAUGGCUGUCGUCAGCUCGUGUCGUGAGAUGUUGGGUUAAGUCCCGCAACGAGCGCAACCCUCACUUUUAGUUGCCAUCAUUAAGUUGGGCACUCUGAAAGAACUGCCAGUGAUAAGCUGGAGGAAGGUGGGGAUGACGUCAAGUCCUCAUGGCCCUUACGUGUUGGGCUACACACGUGCUACAAUGGCAUCUACAACAGGAAGCAAAACGGCAACGUUAAGCAAAUCCCGAAAAGAUGCCUCAGUUCGGAUUGCACUCUGCAACUCGAGUGCAUGAAGCUGGAAUUACUAGUAAUCGUGGAUCAGCGUGCCACGGUGAAUGCGUUCCCGGGUCUUGUACACACCGCCCGUCACACCAUGGGAGUUGGUUCUACCUUAAGGCAAGGUUUUAAACCCUUGACCACGGUAUAGUCAGCGACUGGGGUGAAGUCGUAACAAGGUAACC
rnacentral:rRNA from 1 species